rnacentral:rRNA from 1 species
CCUACGGGAGGCAGCAGUGGGGAAUAUUGCGCAAUGGGCGAAAGCCUGACGCAGCGACGCCGCGUGAGGGAUGAAGGUCUUCGGAUCGUAAACCUCUGUCAGCAGGGAAGAACGGUCACUGUGCUAAUCAGCAGUGAAUUGACGGUAACUGCAAAGGAAGCACCGGCUAACUCCGUGCCAGCCGCCGCGGUAAUACGGAGGGUGCGAGCGUUAAUCGGAAUUACUGGGCGUAAAGCGCUCGUAGGCGGUAUGUCAAGUCAAGGGUGAAAUCCCCGCGCUCAACGUGGGCACUGCCUUUGAAACUGGCAAACUGGAGUGUGUGAGAGGAUAGUGGAAUUCCAGGUGUAGGAGUGAAAUCCGUAGAUAUCUGGAGGAACAUCGGUGGCGAAGGCGACUAUCUGGCACAUAACUGACGCUGAGGAGCGAAAGCGUGGGUAGCAAACAGGAUUAGAUACCCUUGUAGUC